UACGGGGGGGGCAAGCGUUGUUCGGAAUUACUGGGCGUAAAGGGCUCGUAGGUGGUCAACUAAGUCGGACGUGAAAUCCCUCGGCUUAACCGGGGAACUGCGUCCGAUACUGGAUGACUUGAGUUCGGGAGAGGGAUGCGGAAUUCCAGGUGUAGCGGUGAAAUGCGUAGAUAUCUGGAGGAACACCGGUGGCGAAGGCGGCAUCCUGGACCGACACUGACGCUGAGGAGCGAAAGCAUGGGGAGCGAACAGGG
rnacentral:rRNA from 1 species